UACAGAGGUGGCAAGCGUUGUUCGGAAUUACUGGGCGUAAAGGGCUCGUAGGCGGCCAACUAAGUCGGACGUGAAAUCCCCAGGCUCAACCUGGGAACUGCGUCCGAUACUGGAUGGCUUGAAUCCGGGAGAGGGAUGCAGAAUUCCAGGUGUAGCGGUGAAAUGCGUAGAUAUCUGGAGGAAUACCGGUGGCGAAGGCGGCAUCCUGGACCGGCAUUGACGCUGAGGAGCGAAAGCCAGGGGAGCAAACGGG
rnacentral:rRNA from 1 species